rnacentral:rRNA from 1 species
AGACCCGAAACCCGGUGAUCUAGCCAUGGGCAGGUUGAAGGUUGGGUAACACUAACUGGAGGACCGAACCGACUAAUGUUGAAAAAUUAGCGGAUGACCUGUGGCUGGGGGUGAAAGGCCAAUCAAACCGGGAGAUAGCUGGUUCUCCCCGAAAGCUAUUUAGGUAGCGCCUCGUGAAUUCAUCUCCGGGGGUAGAGCACUGUUUCGGCUAGGGGGCCAUCCCGGCUUACCAACCCGAUGCAAACUGCGAAUACCGGAGAAUGUUAUCACGGGAGACACACGGCGGGUGCUAACGUCCGUCGUGAAGAGGGAAACAACCCAGACCGCCAGCUAAGGUCCCAAAGUCAUGGUUAAGUGGGAAACGAUGUGGGAAGGCCCAGACAGCCAGGAUGUUGGCUUAGAAGCAGCCAUCAUUUAAAGAAAGCGUAAUAGCUCACUGGUCGAGUCGGCCUGCGCGGAAGAUGUAACGGGGCUAAACCAUGCACCGAAGCUGCGGCAGCGAACGUAUCACUUAAAGCGAUUCAGCGGGUUACGAUUGACGGAGCGAAGCGACGUCAAAGCGUAUACAAAGUCGAGUCGGUUUAAGGAUACGUUCGUUGGGUAGGGGAGCGUUCUGUAAGCCUGUGAAGGUGUGUCGUGAGGCAUGCUGGAGGUAUCAGAAGUGCGAAUGCUGACAUAAGUAACGAUAAAGCGGGUGAAAAGCCCGCUCGCCGGAAGACCAAGGGUUCCUGUCCAACGUUAAUCGGGGCAGGGUGAGUCGACCCCUAAGGCGAGGCCGAAAGGCGUAGUCGAUGGGAAACGGGUUAAUAUUCCCGUACUUGGUGUUACUGCGAAGGGGGGACGGAGAAGGCUAUGUUGGCCGGGCGACGGUUGUCCCGGUUUAAGCGUGUAGGUGUGUGUUCCAGGUAAAUCCGGUUCACUUUAACACUGAGGCGUGAUGACGAGGCACUACGGUGCUGAAGCAACAAAUGCCCUGCUUCCAGGAAAAGCCUCUAAGCAUCAGGUAACAUCAAAUCGUACCCCAAACCGACACAGGUGGUCAGGUAGAGAAUACCAAGGCGCUUGAGAGAACUCGGGUGAAGGAACUAGGCAAAAUGGUGCCGUAACUUCGGGAGAAGGCACGCUGACAUGUAGGUGAAGUGAUUUACUCAUGGAGCUGAAGUCAGUCGAAGAUACCAGCUGGCUGCAACUGUUUAUUAAAAACACAGCACUGUGCAAACACGAAAGUGGACGUAUACGGUGUGACGCCUGCCCGGUGCCGGAAGGUUAAUUGAUGGGGUCAGCGCAAGCGAAGCUCCUGAUCGAAGCCCCGGUAAACGGCGGCCGUAACUAUAACGGUCCUAAGGUAGCGAAAUUCCUUGUCGGGUAAGUUCCGACCUGCACGAAUGGCGUAAUGAUGGCCAGGCUGUCUCCACCCGAGACUCAGUGAAAUUGAACUCGCUGUGAAGAUGCAGUGUACCCGCGGCAAGACGGAAAGACCCCGUGAACCUUUACUAUAGCUUGACACUGAACAUUGAGCCUUGAUGUGUAGGAUAGGUGGGAGGCUUUGAAGCGUGGACGCCAGUCUGCGUGGAGCCGACCUUGAAAUACCACCCUUUAAUGUUUGAUGUUCUAACGUGGACCCGUAAUCCGGGUUGCGGACAGUGUCUGGUGGGUAGUUUGACUGGGGCGGUCUCCUCCUAAAGAGUAACGGAGGAGCACGAAGGUUGGCUAAUCCUGGUCGGACAUCAGGAGGUUAGUGCAAUGGCAUAAGCCAGCUUGACUGCGAGCGUGACGGCGCGAGCAGGUGCGAAAGCAGGUCAUAGUGAUCCGGUGGUUCUGAAUGGAAGGGCCAUCGCUCAACGGAUAAAAGGUACUCCGGGGAUAACAGGCUGAUACCGCCCAAGAGU